rnacentral:misc_RNA from 1 species
AUGAAAGAAUCUACAUCCAAAAAUGUGAGCAAAUUCUAUAUCCAAAAAUAAUUUUCCAGGAUCUCCCUCAUGUUUAUUUUUUAUUCUUAACAGUAAUUGUGAGCAAAUUCGUCAAAUUUGUACAUGCUUCUAUAUCCUUAUUAAAUAUUGUGUACACCUUGAAAAUCAGGAAACAUAAUCCAGUAUGACAAUAAGGAACAAACGAAUGAAAGCAACCAUGCUUGUAUCCCAUUGU